CCAACACUAUGUACGCGAUCAAACACAAGAUGGCGGAAUCACCAGGCUCUCUGAUGAGGAACUCGGCGGGGCGGUCAAGCCGGCGCCCAAACGCCGUCGCAUCUUAGACUCUGCGGCCAUUGUCCCGUGCCAUCUACUCUAACAAGGUGAACAGCAGCCUGCUACUGAAGGCGAAGAUUCCAGUCCUUGACGGAGUAUGAAAGACCAGACAACAGCGAUGUGGACAAACUGUGGUCGCCGACGGCGGGUCAGAAAGAGCUCAGUAUCACCAUCAGCGACUCUGAUGGCGAACAGGAAGUGUAGG